UAUAAUGUAUAAAAGAACAUAUUAUAGACGCAGUUGAAUCAAUCAGCUAGUCGAUAAACGUGAUUGAUAAGCGUUUCGAAGAAAUUGAAUUAAAUGUUCCAUGCUUUAUUGAUGUUUGUAUAAAUACAGCUUCAUGUUUGUGCAGAUGCAUUGCGACAUAAGGGCGUAUUGUUAUAAAUUAAAUCAUGAAGUUCUUGGCAGUUUUCGUUUUUGGAAUCCUCGCAGUUACGAGUAUUAUGGCGAUUCCGCCACCGCCUGGUCCAGGUAGUGUUGGUGGACAGCUUGUGACAUGUUACAGCGAUGAAGAUUGUGAUCGAAUGUGCAACCGGAAAUGCGACCUGUACUCUACAAUAGGCGUUUGCUCCAACUACAACUGUUAUUGCGCGCUUCUUAGUCAAUCAAGCCCUCCAAAUCCAAGAUCAAAUCUGCCAUCAGUACGCCCUUGAAUUUAACAGCGCAUUUGUUAACAUUUGAAAUGUAAACAAAAACAUAUUAAAAUAAAUAAUUUGAAAAUGAA